CACACAAUGAAUAUAUAAAAGUAACAACUUGGAAUCACAAUGUAGAAAAAUAAAGUAUUUAUCAGAAUAACAUGAAAGAGUUUAAACUGGUUUAAAGUGCAUUAAGGUAUCUGAAUGUUAAAACUGAUUUAUCAACUUCCUUCAUGUCUCUGAUCAUUAUUAUUUCAUCCAUUCAUUCAUAUUAAAUAAUUAUCAACUGAUUUCAAAGAUCAUCACUUUGGUAUAGUU